rnacentral:rRNA from 1 species
UACGGAGGGUGCGAGCGUUGGUCCGGAAUCACUGGGCGUAAAGGGCGCGGUAGGUGGGCGCAGGAAGUCAACGGUGAAAGUUCGGGGCUCAACCCUGAAUCGGGCCGUCCGGAUACUCCUGGGCUCGAGCACUGUAGAGGCAGAUGGAAUUCCGGGUGUAGCGGUGGAAUGCGUAGAAGAUUAGGAAGAACACCAGUGGCGAAGGCGACUUACUGGACUGUAACUGACGCUGAGGCAUGAAGCGUGGGGAGCAACAGGA